rnacentral:rRNA from 1 species
UAGGGAAUCUUCGGCAAUGGACGAAAGUCUGACCGAGCAACGCCGCGUGAGUGAAGAAGGUUUUCGGAUCGUAAAACUCUGUUGUUAGAGAAGAACAAGGACGUUAGUAACUGAACGUCCCCUGACGGUAUCUAACCAGAAAGCCACGGCUAACUACGUGCCAGCAGCCGCGGUAAUACGUAGGUGGCAAGCGUUGUCCGGAUUUAUUGGGCGUAAAGCGAGCGCAGGCGGUUUCUUAAGUCUGAUGUGAAAGCCCCCGGCUCAACCGGGGAGGGUCAUUGGAAACUGGGAGACUUGAGUGCAGAAGAGGAGAGUGGAAUUCCAUGUGUAGCGAUGAAAUGCGUAGAUAUAUGGAGGAACACCAGUGGCGAAGGCGGCUCUCUGGUCUGUAACUGACGCUGAGGCACGAAAGCGUGGGGAGCAAACAGG